GACGAACCGAGCGAACGUUGUUCGGAAUCACUGGGCUUAAAGGGCGCGUAGGCGGGGUCAUAAGUCUGUGGUGAAAUCCUCCGGCUCAACCGGAGAACUGCCUCGGAUACUGUGGCUCUUGAGGGUGGUAGGGGUAUGCGGAACUAUCGGUGGAGCGGUGAAAUGCGUUGAUAUCGAUAGGAACUCCGGUGGCGAAGGCGGCAUACUGGACCACAUCUGACGCUGAGGCGCGAAAGCCAGGGGAGCGAACGGG
rnacentral:rRNA from 1 species